AGAACGAACGCUGGCGGCGUGGAUAAGACAUGCAAGUCGAGCGCUGAUUUAAGGGUAGCAAUAUUCUUGGGUUGGAGCGGCGCAAGGGUGCGUAACACGUGGGUAAUUUGCCAUGAAGUCUGGAAUAACUUGCUGAAAGGCGAGCUAAUGCCGGAUGUGAUUUUCGAGAAGCAUUUCUUGGAACUCAAAGUUGGGGACCGCAAGGCCUGACGCUUCUUGAUAAGCCCGCGGCCUAUCAGCUAGUUGGUGAGGUAAUGGCUCACCAAGGCUAAGACGGGUAGCUGGGUCUGAGAGGACGACCAGCCACACUGGAACUGAGACACGGUCCAGACACCUACGGGUGGCAGCAGUCGAGAAUUUUCACAAUGGGCGAAAGCCUGAUGGAGCGACGCCGCGUGGGGAUGAAUGGCUUCGGCCCGUAAACCCCUGUCAUUUGCGAACAAACCUUACCGGUUAAACAACCGUUAAGCUGAUUGUAGACGGAAGAGGAAGGACGGA
rnacentral:rRNA from 1 species